UAGAGUUUGAUCCUGGCUCAGAGUGAACGCUAGUAGUAUGCUUUAUACAUGCGAGUCGAAUACUUUUUAAGUAUGGCGAACGGGUGAGUAAAAUAUAAGAAAUUACCCUUUAGUUCGGGUUAAAAUACCGAAUAAUCAAAGAUUUAUAUCGCUAUCGGAUAUGCUUAUACAAAAUUAGGUAGUAGGUAAGUUAAUAGCUUACCUAGCCUACGAUUUUUAGUUGAUUUGAAAGAAUGAUCAACCACACUGGGACUGAGACAAGGCCCAGGCUUUUUUUUACAGCCAGCAGUAAGGAAUCUUGGACAAUGAGCGAAAGCUUGAUCCAGCAAUACUACGUGAGGGAUUUACGGCUUAUUUUGGUCUUCAACCUCUUUUAUUAGAAAAGAUAAUGACUUAUCUAAAAAAAAAGUCCCGGCUAAUUUCGUGCCAGCAGCCGCGGUAAUACGAAAGGGGCAAGCGUUAUUCGGUGUAAUUUGGUGUAAAGGGUUCGUAGGCUGUAAUAAGGUUGUUUAAAUUGAAAUUAAGAGACCUAAUCUCUUUUAAGGUAUUUAAAAACACUUUUACUUGGGUAUAAGAGAGGAUUAUAGAAUUUUAAAGGGAGAGGUAAAAUUUUAAGAUCUUUAAAGGAAUAUCAAAAGCGAAAGCAAUAAUCUGGUUUAUUUUUACCGACGCUGAGGAACGAAAGAAUAGGUAGCAAACAGGAUUAGAGACCCUGGUAGUCUAUUCUGUAAACUAUGAGUGCUCGUAUUUAGAAUAUAAAAUUUUAGAUACUAAGUUAACACGUUAAGCACUCCACCUGAGGAGUAUGAUCGCAAGAUUGGAACUCAAAGGAAUUGACGGGGGCCUAUACAAGUGGUGGAGCAUGUGGUUUAAUGCGAUAAUACGCGCGAAAUCUUACCAAUCUUUGAUUUUUUUUUAAUCUUUUUUAAUAUUGUUUAAAGAAGAUUGAAAAGAACAGGUGUUGCAUGGCUGUCGUCAGCUCGUGUUGUGAAAUGUUUGGUUAAGUCCUUUAACGAGCGCAACUCUUUUUUUUAGUUGCUACUUUUAUUUUAAAAGGCACUCUAAAAAUACUAUUUAUGAUGAGUAAAUGGAAGAAGAAUUACGUCAAGUCCUCAUGGCCCUUAUAGAUUGGGCUACACACGUGCUACAAUGGUAACUACAAAACGCAGCGAGAAUGUGAACUGGAGCAAAUCGUCUAAAAGUUAUCUUAGUUCGGAUUGUUAACUGUAACUCGUUAACAUGAAGUUGGAAUCACUAGUAAUCGUAAAUCAGCAUGUUACGGUGAAUUUGUACCUAGGCCUUGUACACACCGCCCGUCACAUGCCGGGAGUUAGUUUUACUUUAAGAAAUUUUAUAGUAACUUAAAAUUAUUUUUAAUUUAAGAACGGGAUUUCCAAAGAGAAAUUAAUGACUGGGAUGAAGUCGUAACAAGGUAACCA
rnacentral:rRNA from 1 species